rnacentral:lncRNA from 1 species
GUUAAUGAGUCUCAAAAUUACGUAAGUUGAUAAAGUUUAUUUCAUGAUAUUGAUCAGAGGUAUAAUGGUCUUAUGACGUCCCAAAAGAUUUUAUUAACGUACUUCUCAUGCAUUGCAUUUAUUUACAUGUACAUUGACGCACGAUCAGAUGGUGUUAUAUACGCGUAUAUAUGUAUGCAUAUAUAUGUAUAUGAGAUAGGGAAAAAUGUUACGACGUUAUAUACGCACCACCACAUGAUC